rnacentral:rRNA from 1 species
AUGAGCCAACAGAAGUUUGCUUCCAAUGUUGUGAAGUGCCUGUCUUUUGAUUCUCCCGAGGAGUGCCAGAUUCUAUUGAUAUGUUUGCUGUUUUCACAAGCUAUUCCUCGUAAGCUGCUUCAAGGUGCAAAGUGUGGAUACUAUGUCUAUGUUGCUAUAAAGCUUGAAUUUGGGCAUUUCAGUCUUCUGACAUGUAGCUUCUGCUUUGCAGGCAAUGAUGAAAGACCGGUUUGCAAAAUGUGUGGUGCUAAAGGUUUUGGAGACUUGCGACGCCACACCCGUGAGCUGAUUCUUUCGCGUAUCAAGGUCCUCCUCAGUCCUGAACACAGUAAAAAUAUAGGGAUUAGUUACCUACCUCAUACAGGACAUGAGACCUGGAAUUCUGAAGUGUGCCGAGGCAUAAGCUGUGUAAUCGGCAGCAGGCAUCAAGUAACUCAACCUGGUAGUUGA